CACCGUGAAAGAGCGUCAUCCUGGAGAUAUGGGAAUAAAGAUUCCCAGCGGAGAUUUUGAUUAGUUGUGAUAUUUUACUACUAACUUCACUAUAAUCUGAAUUACUUUUGCCUUUUACGGGCAUUCACCCCUCUAGUCAACAACAUAAAUAGUGUAGAAAUAGGGCGUUACCUGUCCCUAUAUCCGUGGGGAGUUGAAUAGCGGCGCACGUGUUUUUAUCUCGGAGCAAAAAAUACCUUACAUCAAUCAGGCAGGAUGAAGCUGUCCUUUGGUUCUCUGGUGAUAACUGCCGGCAUCUUCGGUAUGCUCAGUUUUGCGUUCCAGGCGGCAGCGAUUGGGAGCGACUACUGGUACAUUAUUAAGGUGAACAGAACCAACCAGACCAAUACAGAGGUUUUGGAUUCCAAUUCCAGACUAUGGUUAAUUUACGAAGGACAAAAGGUGUUUCACAUUGAACUCCUCCAGCUACUCUGAAACUGCGAUGCACAUGUUGAGUGUCCUGACCCUCUCCGGUGUCAGCCUGUACAUCAGCAACUCCGAGCAGGCACUGGCAGAGACCGAGAGUCUGGUGGGGGCUAAGCGUCUGGCCCAGGUGGUCAGCACUUAAUUCGAGCUGGUCCCUGGGCCUGGCUGUCCUUCUGCCUGGAGGUCCUCACUGGCCUGCUGCUGGCUGCCCACCCCUCCCUCCAGAGCGGCUCACCGGGCCACGGCAUGCCCUCUGUCCUAACCCAAGAGCCAGGCCCUACAGAAGUGUCACAAGAACUGUACC